GAUUAAAUGGCUGAAUUAGGCAAUAGACUGUAAAUCUAUUUAUGAGAAUAUUUUCUCUUUAAUCA
rnacentral:tRNA from 1 species